AAGAUAUUGAAAGAAUUAUAUAUUUUUUAAAUCAAAAUAGUAAAACAUGUAGCUGCCACAUCAUUCUUUUAUUAAUUUUUUAUAUAAAAAAAUUUAAGAUAAUAUAUUUUAUGUAAUAUAUUAACAGUAUUUAUUCAUACGUGACGAAAUACACAAUAAUGCAGGUCACAUCGCAUUUAAAUAAAUGUUAGGCCUUGUGCAAUAAAUGUUUGACUGGAUCAGAAUUAUGCUUGUCCUUUUCAUAAAUGCUCUCUCUGUUAGUUCCCAGAUUUUACUGUCAUAUUGGCGGUCAAGAUUCUGAAUUUUCUUUUUCAUUGUGCAACUCUAGCCCUAGGUAUUGAUUCUACUCUCUAAAUUUGCAAACAUGGGAAUUGUCAAAUUAUUCAAUAAUUCUUUCAAAUUAAUGUUCACGAAUUAAUAUUGUGAUUUGCAGGUGUUAUUCAACAAUUCUAAGUAACGAUGAUAUCAUUAUUUCUGUUUUAUUUUAUUUCUGUUUCUUGGCUUUUAUGAUUUUUCGUUAGUUGAGAUAAAUUGAGGCUCCGUUGGUAAUGCUUAAAAAUUAAAUUUUUUUUAAACUUACUACUAAAAAAGAUAAGAUUUUUUGACUUUUCUAGCUUUACUUUAUCUUAAAAAAAUAAAAAAACAAAAACAAAAAAAAUAAAAAAAUCAAUUCUGAUUGACUUUUUGCUUAUUUACUUAAAAAAAGUCAGCCGAAAAGCAAAAAAAAAACUUGCUUCAAAUAGAGCCUGAAUCUCUAGGUGAAUUGUUUUGUAUUUAGUGAAUUGUUUUACUUUAC
rnacentral:lncRNA from 1 species